UAAUUUUUAUUUUUUAUGCUUUAUUUAGUUAGAGAAUCUAAAAAUAUUUAGCAGUAAUUAAUAUUAUAUAUUAGGUUAUUUUAGAUAUAGUAAUAAAUUUAAGUAUCAACAAAUAUUUAUGCCAGCAGUUGCGGUUAGAUGAAAGAUGCAGUUCAAUUUAAUUAAAUAUUCAAAUGUUUUGGUUAGUAAAUAAUUUUAUAUAUUUUAAUUAAAGGUGAAAUUUUAUUAAUUUAAGAUAGAUUUUCUGCUAUAUUUAUUUUGAGAAAUUUUUGUUUAAACUAGGAUUAGAUACCCUAUUAUUUAAAAUGUAAAUUUUAUUUAAUUAUUAUUAGUUAUUUUCUUGAAAAUUAUAUAUUUUGGCGGUAUUUUAUUCUGUUCAGAGGAACCUGCUUUUUAAUUGAUACUCCACGAUUAAUUCUACUUUUUUAUUGUUUGUAUAUCGUCGUUAAAGAAGAUUUUAAGAAAAUAAAUUUUCGGGGUUUAAUACAUUUAUUUUAAAUCAGAUCAAGGUGCAGCUUAGAAAAGAAUAUGGUGGGUUACAAUAUAGGUAUAUUUUGACUUAAUAUUGAAAAUUUUAAUUGAGAUUGGAUUUGAUAGUAAUUUUAUCUUUAUAGUUGAGAUGAUUUAAGCUCUAAAAUAUGUACAUAUCGCCCGUCGCUUUCAUAUUUUAAUGAAAUAAGUCGUAACACAGUAGGCCUACUGGAAGGUGGGUCUGGAAAUAAC
rnacentral:ncRNA from 1 species